GACAGAGGGUGCAAACGUUGUUCGGAAUUACUGGGCGUAAAGCGCGUGUAGGUGGCGAGGCAAGUCGGGUGUGAAAGCCCUGGGCUCAACCCAGGAAGUGCACUCGAUACUGCCUAGCUAGAGUCCCGGAGAGGUUGGUGGACUCUCGGUGUAGAGGUGAAAUUCAUAGAUAUCGAGAAGAACACCGGUGGCGAAGGCGGCCAACUGGACGGUGACUGACACUGAGACGCGAAAGCGUGGGAGCAAC
rnacentral:rRNA from 1 species